UACGUAGGAGGCAAGCGUUGUCCGGAAUUACUGGGCGUAAAGCGCGUGUAGGUGGUGGGACAAGUCUGCUGUGAAAGCGCCUGGCUUAACCGGGCGAGGUCGGCGGAAACUGUUCGACUCGAGGACGGUAGAGGGGGGUGGAAUUCCCGGUGUAGUGGUGAAAUGCGUAGAGAUCGGGAGGAACACCGGUGGCGAAGGCGGGUCUCUGGGCCAUUACUGACGCUGAGGAGCGAAAGCGUGGGGAGCGAACAGG
rnacentral:rRNA from 1 species